AGUGGCGAACGGGUGAGUAAUACAUCGGAACAUGUCCUGUAGUGGGGGAUAGCCCGGCGAAAGCCGGAUUAAUACCGCAUACGAUCUGAGGAUGAAAGCGGGGGACCUUCGGGCCUCGCGCUAUAGGGUUGGCCGAUGGCUGAUUAGCUAGUUGGUGGGGUAAAGGCCUACCAAGGCGACGAUCAGUAGCUGGUCUGAGAGGACGACCAGCCACACUGGGACUGAGACACGGCCCAGACUCCUACGGGAGGCAGCAGUGGGGAAUUUUGGACAAUGGGCGAAAGCCUGAUCCAGCAAUGCCGCGUGUGUGAAGAAGGCCUUCGGGUUGUAAAGCACUUUUGUCCGGAAAGAAAUCCUUGGUUCUAAUAUAGCCGGGGGAUGACGGUACCGGAAGAAUAAGCACCGGCUAACUACGUGCCAGCAGCCGCGGUAAUACGUAGGGUGCAAGCGUUAAUCGGAAUUACUGGGCGUAAAGCGUGCGCAGGCGGUUUGCUAAGACCGAUGUGAAAUCCCCGGGCUCAACCUGGGAACUGCAUUGGUGACUGGCAGGCUAGAGUAUGGCAGAGGGGGGUAGAAUUCCACGUGUAGCAGUGAAAUGCGUAGAGAUGUGGAGGAAUACCGAUGGCGAANGCAGCCCCAUGGGCCAAUACUGACGCUCAUGCACGAAAGCGUGGGGGGCAAACAGGAUUAGAUACCCUGGUAGUCCACGCCCUAAACGAUGUCAACUAGUUGUUGGGGNUUCAUUUCCUUAGUAACGUANCUNACGCGUGAAGUUGACCGCCUGGGGAGUACGGUCGCAAGAUUAAAACUCAAAGGAAUUGACGGGGACCCGCAC
rnacentral:rRNA from 1 species